rnacentral:ncRNA from 1 species
UAGUAAGCGCAGAUAAGGAUUAGUAGCAAGGUGAUGCUUUUAGAGAGUUCAUGGGCGGUGGAAAUGAACAGCAGUGACUUGUGAACUCGCCUUGGAGUUUUUUACUGAAAUUAGUAGGUAAAAACGGUACUUCCCGUUACGAAGCAAAGUGUCGGCUUUGUGCCGGAAAAUAGGUGGUACCGCGAAAAAUUCGUCCUAUGU